rnacentral:misc_RNA from 1 species
GAUGAAGAACGCAGCGAAUUGCGAUAAGUAAUGUGAAUUGCAGAUUUUCAGUGAAUCAUCGAAUCUUUGAACGCACCUUGCGCUCCUUGGUAUUCCGAGGAGCAUGCCUGUUUGAGUGUCAUUAAUAUAUCAACCUCUUCAGCUUAUGCUUGUUGAGUGUUGGAUGGUGGGGGUUUGCUGGUGUCUUAUGAAGUCAGCUCCUCUGAAAUGCAUUAGCGGAACAAUUUGUUGACCGUUCAUUGGUGUGAUAAAAAUAUCUACGCUAUUGACGUCAGUCAGUUCAGCUUCUAACAGUCCAUUGACUUGGACAAAUUUUUCAUUAAUGUGACCUCAAAUCAGGUAGGACUACCCGCUGAACUUAAGCAUAUCAAUAAGCGGAGGA